AAUCCUCACUUUCAAUUAAAUUCCAUCAUUUUUUCCCUCAUGAGAGAAAGAGAAUUUCCAGAGCGAAAUGGCAAAAGCUGCUGUGUUUCGUCUAGCAUCUUCCGUUCUCAAAUCUUCGCCUCCUAAACUUAUUCUCUUUGGAAUUCGAAGGUCGGGUUUUCUAAGCCAUGACUACUUGCGGCGCCCAAAUGUACCAAACACAGGUUGGGUUUUCAGAAACAUGAGCCAUGGGUCUGUGAGUUUGGUGAUAUCUCAAGGAAAACUCAAGUUUGAGACGUACCAAGUUGAUCCUCCUAAGAAGCACAAGUGGUUGACCAAGAAGAGGUUGAAGAUUCAGAGGAAGAGGGAGAAGCAUGAGAGGAAAGCAGCGAACAAGAGGGACCCCCGUCGGCUUCGCAUUAAGGGGAACAAGAAAAGCCACAAGUUUGCUAAUGCUGAGGACAAAAUCAAGUUCAAGCUUGAAAAGGCCAGAGUUAAGGAGGCUUUGCUGAUUGAAAGACUUAAGCGGUAUGAAAUUCCAAAAAUUCAGGGUCCUGUGGUACAACCAAAUUAUCUGACAGGUGAGGAGCGGUUUUAUAUGAAGAAAAUGGCCCAAAAGAAGUCUAACUAUGCCCCAAUUGGCAAACGAGGAAUUUUUGGAGGUGUUAUUCUUAAUAUGCAUUUGCAUUGGAAGAAACAUGAAACGGUAAAGGUUAUUUGCAAGCCCUGCAAGCCUGGCCAAGUACAUGAGUAUGCACAGGAAAUUGCUAGACUGAGUGGGGGAAUCCCAAUUCAGGUUGUUGGAGAUGACACCAUAAUAUUUUAUCGAGGAAAGAACUAUGUGCAGCCGGCAGUAAUGUCACCUGUAGAUACUUUAUCGAAAAAAAGGGCACUGGAGAAAUCCAAAUAUGAGCAAUCGCUGGAGUCUGUGCGGCACUUCAUUGCUAUUGCUGAGAAGGAAUUGGAGCUCUAUUACAGGCACAUUGCGCUUUAUGGUAACCCGAAUGAUGGAAAUCCCAUUUCAGUUUUGGAUGGUCCUACAAAAGAAACUGAGGCAUCAGAGAAACAUAAAAUACUAGAAAACCAAAUUCUAGACUCUGCUAGUGAUUUCUUUUCUGCAGGUCUUCUUGAGACAGAAUCAGACUCAUCAGAUUCAGAGCUGUUAAAAGCUGAUGAUUUUGAAGAUCACAACUAAUCAGAGACUUUUGGACUAUUGUCCGUCGGAAGAUGAUCAGUAUGCAAAAGCAGGGUACCCAAAACAUGUAUAUGGCAUGCCAGCGAAUAGUCAUUGUACCCAGCCUGACACUCAUACAAUGAGACAAAUCAAAGGUUCAGAACCCCAAGUUUUAAUCCCUCGGCUGGGAUAUCUAGCAAACUUUUCUGCACCACAAAAUGCUGUUUUACUGAAUAACCAAAUGCUCCACCACUGAACUUCCGAUAAUCACAACACAUUCAUUUGUGCUCACAAGGCAUGUUGCUUGCUCCAUCCACUCCAUAAAGGCCAAGAAAUCCAAUCCCAUGUCAUGAAAUUUGGUCACUUAUCUGAUACCUUCAUCCAAAGACUUUUUGCUCCAUUUUUAUGUAAUUCAAAAUGACAUUGUUUCUGCUACCCAUGUUUUUGAUUUGAUAGCGAUCCGGAUGUUGUUUCCUGGAUUUCGAUCUUUUCGGGUCUUUCCAAGUGUGGGUUUGUAGGGGAAGCACUUGUUAAAUUUAUGUCCAUGGACGCAGAACCCAAUGUUACUACUCUUGUGACUGUUUUGUCUUCGUGUUCUAGUUUAAGAGCUUUCAAGUUAGGUAAAGCUGUUCAUGGCCAUUGUUUGAGGAACGUACACAAGUGUAAUAUGAUUUUGGACAAUGCAAUGUUGGAUUUCUAUCUGAGAUCUGGUUCUUUGGUGGCUGCAAGAUACUUGUUUGUCAUUAUGCCCAAGAGAGAUUUUGUUUCUUGGAGUAGCAUUGUGGGUGGUUAUGCACAUAGAGGUUUAUGUGAGGAGGCAAUGAGACUUUUCCAACAACUGGUGCUGGGCUGGGAAGUUGAGCUGAAUGAGGCUACCAUUGUCAAUGUAUUGUCAGCAUGUUCUUCUGUUUGUUCCUUGAGUUCAAGCCAGCAGGUGCAUUUCUAUAUCAGUACUCAGCCAGAUCUCAUGGUGAAUAGCAAUGUGGGAAAUGCCUUGAUCAACAUGUAUGUUAGGAGUGGACAUUUGGGUAUGGCUAUUUCGGUUUUUAAGGCCUUGGAGUGCAAAGAUAUCAUUUUAUGGAGUACCAUAAUAAGCAGUACGGCAUACAUGUGUUGCAGCUCUUUUCCUGAAUGCUAGUCAGUGGGGUUUCUCCUGAUGGUGUAACCUUCCUUGGGUUAUUAACAGCAUGCAGUCAUGCAGGCCUUGUAAACCAAGGGUUGAUGUUCUUCAACUAUGAAGAAAGUUUACUGGAUUGUCCCUGAAACACAAUAUCAUGCUUGUUUGGUUGGUAUGUACGGUUGAGCUGGGCUCUUAGAUAGGCUUUUAUUAAAGAAAUGCCUUUGAAAGCUGAUGGUUCUGUUUGGGGAGCUCUGCUUAGUGCUUGCAAAAUUCAUGAGAAUGAGACGAUGAUUGAGAGAAUCAGACAAGGACUCCCAAAUAAUGCAGGAGUUAGCAUUGGUUCGUGAUGAAGUAUGGGGUUGAAGACACAGCCAGGUUGUAGCUGGAUUGAGACUGGUCCAUCCAUUUGACCUAUAUGCAGCACGAUCCCCAUGUUGGCCAUUGGGAAAUACCAAACUAAUUAUGGUUUUCAGAAACUUGAGUGAAUAUGGUGAUAUCGGAAGAUAAACUCAAGUUUGAGAUGAUGAAAUUGUUCCUCCGAAAAAUGGGAACCAGAAGAGGUUGAAGCUGCAGAGGAACAGAGAAGCAGGAAUCAAAACAGCCAAUAAGAGGGACCCAAAUCUGCUCAGGGUCGAGGGGAAGAGUCAAAAGGCAGAAAUUUGCUAAUGCUGAGGAGAAUUUCGAGAGAAUCAAGUACAAGGUCAAAAGGAGAAAUGAAGGCUGAAGCUUAAGAGGCAUUGGUAUUACUAGGAAGGAGCAAGACUGUACUGUAUGAUAUUGGUGACCAAAACGGCGGAAUCUCAAUUCAAUCUUUGAUAGUGCUACGAAAGAGACGGGGGUGAUAUCUAGAUUCUUACUAGUGAUUUCUUUUCUGCACGACUCCUGGAGAUUACUCAUAUUCAGAGCUAUCACAAAGCCAUGGUUCUGAAGAUGACAACUAUCAAUAGGUGAAUCGGAUUCCCAAGAUGAUAGGAGUCUUGAUUCUGAUGAUGAUGAAGAAGCAAGCUCGCCAAGAGGCAUAAUAACACGUCAAAUGUUUGGUAUUAUUUUUUAACAAGAUAAUUUUUUUAUCAAAAUUUAACUUUUUUUUAUUCCUUGUGCGUUAUGAUUAUGUAAUCUUAUCAAUUUAAUAGUUAUGAUAAUGUUAGAUGUUUGCUCGAAGUAUCAAAAUGUCAAUCAAAUUAUUCCCAUA